rnacentral:lncRNA from 1 species
UCGAUUAUCAUCAGGCAUAAUCGAUUAUCAUGCAAUUCUGGGCAGAGAUUAAUGAACUGAUAAUCGAUUAUCACGAGCCAUAAUCGAUUAUCACGCUAACAAUUUCAAAAAUAGAGCCGUUGGAGCGUCCCAUAACGGCUAUAAACGGCUAGUUUUUCCAUUUUUCUUAUAAAUAGCCCCCCAUAAUCGAUUAUUAGACACUCCUUUGCAACCAAAUACNGCUAAAAUCAAAUCCAGAGCUCAAAAUCUCUUCAUUUCUCUUUCACUUCAUAAACCUUCAUCUUUUCCAUCUUCAUCCAUGGCUGAACCAAGAAGGUAUCGUCGCAAAACAGCUGGAGCCCCUUCCUCCUCUCA